rnacentral:lncRNA from 1 species
AAAGAUAUAAACAAACCCACAUGAUAACUGUAAAUCAGAGAAAAAAUAUAUCAGAUUUCAUGAUCCCAUAAGCAUUACUUAUUAAAAAAAAGAAAGGUAGCAAAAAGAGCAUGAUAGCUACAACAUUCAUAAUUGGAGCUAAGUAAAACUAAAAAAAUAAUAAUAUUCCCAUAUUUAUCUACUGAGGGAAAAAUACUCGACGCAUUGAGAAACUCCUGUUGCAUUUUAUUCACAAAAAAGAAAAAGGGGACACCAAAUGGUUAUGAUUGUCACCUAUGCAUUAGAAGAAACCAAAUGAAAAAAAGAUUUGGAAAAUAAGAGAAUUGUGAAAUUUACCUGGAGUGGAGAGAGGAAGGCUUAGAGUGGAGAGAGGAAGGCUUAAAGGGACGGAUAAGGGACAAGGUUUCUACAUAGAACUGUUUACCAGAAAAACAACCAAAUUAUUUUUUCCCUACAGAGAAUAAUUUAUCACAAAACAAUAUUGAGAGAAAACCCUAAAUCCAUUUUCACCAUGUUCAGAACCUAGAGAAAAAAUCAGAGCGAUAAAAGAAAAACCAUGGGAUAGAGAAAAAACCAGAGAGAAAAAAAAUUAGGGGAGAGACAAAAAACCAGAGAGAGGAAAAACUGAGAUGUAUCUUUGUUAGGAGGCACGUAGGCGCAAAGAGAAGGCGCGAGAUGGUCUCUUAUCUGUGGUUAGGGCAGUCGAGGGCAAGCAAAUACCCUCUGUAGAAGACGCCUUCUGUAGAGAGAAUGGACCAAGGGAGAGAGAGAGAGAGGGGCGAAGGGAGAAGAGCGUGUGAGAGAGCUUCGUUACAUAAACAAAGCUUAUACAGAGGAUAAGAGAGAGAGAGAGGGGAGAAGGGAGAAGAGCGGUUGAGAGAGCAUCAGUAUAUAAACAAAGCUUAUGCAGAGAAGAGGAGAGAGAGAGAGCUUUGUCCUCCAGUAUGUGCAUAAAGAAGAGAGAUAGAGAGAGGAGAAAGAGCUUUAUGAGAGGAACCAAGAGUAGAGAGAGAUAAAGAAUAGAGAGCUUUAAUCGAGAAGAAGAGAGCUUUGUCAGGAAGUGAGGGUCUUUAUUAGAGAGAGAGAAGAGAGAGCUUGAUCAGAGAGAGCAGGCUUCAUCUUAGAGAGGAACAUGCUUCGUUAGCGAGGGUCUUCACACGAGGAACUUCCGCAUUGAAGUUCUCAA